rnacentral:rRNA from 1 species
UACAGAGGUCUCAAGCGUUGUUCGGAUUCAUUGGGCGUAAAGGGCGCGUAGGUGGUGAUGCAAGUCUGGUGUGAAAUUUCGGAGCUUAACUCCGAAACUGCAUUCGAUACUGGCGUGCUUGAGGACUGGAGAGGAGACUGGAAUUCAUGGUGUAGCAGUGAAAUGCGUAGAGAUCAUGAGGAAGACCAGUGGCGAAGGCGGGUCUCUGGACAGUUCCUGACACUGAGACACGAAGGCCAGGGGAGCAAACGGG